rnacentral:rRNA from 1 species
AACGGCCGUACCAUGCUGAAUAUACCGGUUCUCGUUAGUUCACCGAAGUCAAGCAUCAUUGGGCGCGGUCAGUACUUGGGUGGGUGACCACCUGGGAACACCGCGUGCCGUU